GGGGUUGUGGCUCGGUGGUAGAGCACUCCCCUAGCACAGUUGAGGCACUGAGUUAGAUCCUCAGCACCACA
rnacentral:tRNA from 1 species